CUGGAAUUAGUGAUUCACUUUUUUAAAUAAAAGGAUAUAGAAAGAGGAAAAUAGCAACUUUAGAGUAGAGAGAGCUAACACGACCUUAACCAAGUAAUCAACGUUAACAUCUCCAAAGAUGUCAUUGGAUGUCAUGUACCUACUAAUACAAUGAAAGGGGUACAUCUUCCCUGACAUUCAUUCAGAAACCCAUAACCUCAGUCUAAUCAUGAGAAAAACAACAAACAACAUAAACACAGGAGCAAAAUUCGAGGAACUUUCUACAAAACACUUGACCCUACUCAAAAUUGCCAAGGUCUCGAAAACAAGGAAAGAGAUGCCGUCACGGACGAGAGGAGACUAAGCAGAUACGAUGACUGAAUGCCAUGUGGGAUCCCGGGUGGGAUCCCGAAAUGGAGAAAGGAUAUUAGUGAAAAAACUGGCAAAAUCUGAAUACAAUUUGGAGUUUAGUUAAAAGUAACAUACCAAUGUUGGUUCCUUAGUUUUGGGAAAUGUCCAGUACUACAGUAAUGUAAGAUGGUAACAUUAGGGAGAGCUGAAAUCGGGUGAGGGCUAUGUGACGAAUUUGUACUAUCUUUGCAACUUUACUGUGGAUCUAAAAUUAUUCCAGAUUAAGAAGUUUACCUAUAUAAAAAGCAUAUGUACAUCAUAAUUACAGUUAUGCAAAAAUAUGGUUAGAAAAAAUACAUAAGGAAAACAUACGUAAAAAUUAGUGUGGUUCUGUUAGAAUGGUG
rnacentral:lncRNA from 10 species